GACAGAUCUGUCUUCUGGUCUGUCACAUUCUCAAUCACUGGGGCCAUAGUCCGUCCGCUUGUCUACGAUAAGCCAUGGCUGAGAGCCGCAGGAGAGCGCGAGUAUGAACACGGCGCAAAGCAGGGAAUGGAAGAAGCUGGCA
rnacentral:ribozyme from 1 species